AUGAACGCUAGCGACAGGCCUAACACAUGCAAGUCAGGGGCAGCACAAGGAGCAAUCUGAGGUGGCGACCGGCGCACGGGUGAGUAACACGUAUGCAACCUGCCUGUAAGCGGGGAAUAACCCGUUGAAAGACGGACUAAUACCGCAUAAUACUAAAUUACUGCAUGGUAAUUUAUUUAAACAUUUAUGGCUUACAGAUGGGCAUGCGCAUGAUUAGCUAGUUGGAGAGGUAACGGCUCCCCAAGGCAACGAUCAUUAGGGGUUCUGAGAGGAAGGUCCCCACACUGGUACUGAGACACGGACCAGACUCCUACGGGAGGCAGCAGUGAGGAAUAUUGGUCAAUGGACGAGAGUCUGAACCAGCCAAGUCGCGUGCAGGAAGAAUGUCCUUAAUGGAUUGUAAACUGCUUUUGCAGGGGAAUAAAGUGCAUCACGUGUGAUGUUUUGUAUGUACUCUGCGAAUAAGGAUCGGCUAACUCCGUGCCAGCAGCGGC
rnacentral:rRNA from 1 species